UACGUAGGGUGCGAGCGUUAAUCGGAAUUACUGGGCGUAAAGCGUGCGCAGGCGGUUUUGUAAGUCAGAUGUGAAAGCCCCGGGCUUAACCUGGGAAUGGCAUUUGGGACUGCAAGGCUUGAGUGCGGCAGAGGAGACUGGAAUUCCUGGUGUAGCAGUGAAAUGCGUAGAUAUCAGGAGGAAUACCGAUGGCGAAGGCAGGUCUCUGGGCUGACACUGACGCUCAUGCGCGAAAGCGUGGGGAGCAAAAGGG
rnacentral:rRNA from 1 species